AAGGAUUUAGUUUAAAUUGUUAAAACAUAUAUAUAUUAAUUAUAUAUAUAUAUAUAUGGG
rnacentral:tRNA from 1 species